rnacentral:lncRNA from 1 species
AAAAUUGCAUCUUAACAAUUCACACACAAUCUUUAAUAAUUCAGUACACCAUAAGAGAAAAUGCUCUAAUCAUACAUCAGACAUCAGAACCAUGAAACUACUUAUUCAAUCACACCACUAAUUUUCCCAUUAACUGUCUUUCAGUCUUCCUACUAAUGCCGAAUCGCUUAUCCCAAAAGCACAGGUUGUAAAAGUCAUAGGCUUCUCCCGAAGUAUCAAAACUCGUCCCCAAUGUCAGUACUAUGACAUUGUCCCCUGGAUUUUCCGAGAAACCUCGAAUUAUCUUCGGCAGCACCUGUCCUCACCCUGCAGUCAAUGUCACACGUGUAAAUAAUUGUAGUUCUCCAAAAAUAUUUAAAACUGUUACACACUAUGACAUUGUCCCCUGGAUUUUCCGAGAAACCUCGAAUUAUCUUCGGCGGCACCUGUCCUCACCCUGCAGUCAAUGUCACACGUGUAAAUAAUUGUAGUUCUCCAAAAUAUUUAAAACUGCUACACUCAAGUAGCACAUAAUGCGCCUAUUCGAGCAUGAUCAAGCUGUGUUGUUCGAUUCUAACAUCGGAACUGGCCGCCUUAUGGCAGCAUUGCACCAAACUUGUUUUCCCUCUGAGCUAUGUCUCUGUUUUGCUUCCUGUUCUAGCAUUUUUCACCUUUCCAAUCCUAAUGUGCCUAUUCGAGCAUGAUCAAGCUGUGCUGUUAGAUUCUAAUGUUUACUUAUGCUCCAGGGGUGUAUCCUCAUUUUUAUGAAUCUAGCAAUCAAAUUAAAAUCACACCCCGUUAAAACAAUCAUGGUUCAAUCCUAACACAGAACAGAGGACUGAAUAUACUUGAGCUGCAGCAUUCAGGAAUGCAUAGACUCUGAAUCUAUACUACAUGCGCUGACCAUUUAUUCAGCAGAUCACAUAUUCACAUACAUUACCAAAACCUAGCAGCCGUCCAUAGUCUUACUGCAAAGCCGUCAGUUCUGCAAAUUUCACACCCUCAAGACGUUUUCUACAUGUACAUCUGAAUCUCUUGGUCAUGUGUGCCAUCCGCCGCAACGCUAUAUUGCUAGUGUCACCAUACCUGCGUGUCCACGCCGGAGAUUUUGGGUCAAGCUGUUCAAUCGACUGCUCGGACACUUGCAGCUCCCUUCUCCUCCCGCCGCCAUUUGGGAAUAACUCCGGGAUGACUUCACACUUCACAUAAGAUACAAUCUUGCAUGAGAAGUAGAGUACCUUCUACUUAUAAUUUUUAGUUUCCUAUGAUCAAAUGUAGACAGUUAAAUGAAAGAAAUGAAUCUGUAGGUACUUAGUAGAUUUAUAACAACACGAGGUCAUGUAACAGGCAGAAUAUAGCAUCAUGAGAACAUAGGAUCGAGAUCAUAUCCCAGGCAUCAAAUUUUCCAUACACACAAUCGUACCCAACUAAUGGGCUUGGCUAAUAGUAGAACAUAAGAAAGCAUUAGUUAACUUAACAAUCACCUGGAAAGUCAGUAGGGCUAGAAACAUGAGAAACUAAAUAAGAUGGGUAUGACUAAAAACAAAAUAGCAUGGUGCAGGUUCUUGUAGUGAAAUAGAUUGAUGGUUACGUAAGCAAUUCUACAAAAACAAUUCAAGGAAAAUUUAGGAACCAUUUACUUUUUGCAAAGUGUGUAUAGACUAUUAACGGGAAAUACCUAGAUUAUGGUCAGAAACCUAAAAUGUAUAUUUAGCAUUAGUUCCAAUCUCAUACUACACGCAGACUUUUGCAUUACUCACUCUCCAACCAACAUCUCACUAUAUUUAAGAACCCACUCUCUUCUUUCAAACUGGACGUAGAGGAACAUUACUGCCUCCUAUCCACAUCUAGACCAUUCCUAAUCAAAAUCGUGAAUCAUCUCCUAACCAAAUCCCUAAAGAAUGAAUCUGCCAUUUUACUCUGCCUACACAAGCCACACACACACGCUCAGAGAGAGAGAGAGAGAGAGAGAGAGAGAGAGAGCGAGAUGAGAACCUUCAGGUAUAGCAGAAGCCAACAACAGAAUCAUCCAGGUCUCUGAGGCGGCAGCGACACCAACGCGGCCGGACGAUGUGGUGCGUGGCUGCAGGGGGGACCGAGUGCAGCCGCCUCAAAGAGCCCCUUCUCACCGUUGUCCUGUACGGGAGCAGCAUUUAAAAGCACAAUACAGAUCUGAAGUAGAAGAAUUUAUUCUUCUGAAUUCAUAUGGCAUGGCACUGCUCUGGACAAUGAUGGCACAUGUACGAUGACUAAUUUUCAGAAAUCUUUUCCAUUAUUAAUUGUUGGGAGAUGCAUCCAGUCAAGUACUUUAAGAGAAACACACAAAUGUAGUAGAAAGGAAAGAAGAAAACCUUAUGAGUCGAACGACGCAGCAACAGAAGAGAUCGUACAAC